ensembl:snoRNA small nucleolar RNA, H/ACA box 77B
GCAGACACACUCUGUUCUUUGCUGUGCAUUCCAGCUUGGGACUUUUUCUGUCUGCUACAUAAACAUGCAGAAUGUAACACUUUACCGGCUUGCUAAAAGGCUGGUGUCAGUAUGUUCUGCUACAUCAUC